rnacentral:misc_RNA from 1 species
AACGCACAUUGCGCCCGCCAGUAUUCUGGCGGGCAUGCCUGUCCGAGCGUCAUUACAACCCUCAGGCCCCCGGGCCUGGCGUUGGGGAUCGGCGGAGCCCUCUGGGCACACGCCGCCCCCUAAAUCUAUUGGCGGUCUCGCUGCAGCCCACUGCGUAGUAGCUAACACCUCGCAACUGGAAAGCGGCGCGGCCAUGCCGUAAAACACCCAACUUUAUGAUGUUGACCUCGGAUCAGGUAGGAAUACCCGCUGAACUUAA